GAAACGAAAACACCAAAUUGCAAAUGGUGCUCAUAAGAAAUUUUCGAAAUUUCGAGAAGACCGUUCGAUGCAUUGUCUUUGAUUUUGUUUCUCUUGCUUCAAUUUGGAUCAAAGAUCAUCGUCUUCAACUCUUCAUCGUUCAUCAGAUUUCCCUAAAUACGCUCCGAGCUCAGAUACUGUCGAAGCCUCCUCGAAUUUUCGAACGAUUGAGGAGACACGUUGUGUUCAGUUGAGUGUUAAAAUUGCGAGCUAGUGAAUUCGGGAUCCUAAGAAUGUUGCAAUGGAUGGGAGGAUCGAGGCGUAAAGUGGCUGCUUCACACACGUCAGUGAAGAAGAGGCAAAAGCAAUACUUUGAGCAGAGGAGACAGCAACAGCAUCAGCAGCUCACAGUUGGGUCUGAGAGCUUUACUAAUGAUAUAAACAAUAGUAAUCAACACCCAAGAGAACACCACUCUCUGGAUAUUCUCAAUUUGCUCCACUUGUCAACCGUUACUCCUGAAUGCCAACCUUCUUGUCCAAAAGUUGAUCUGGAUGCUGAUUUCUUCAACCUGAAUGACAACACAUCCGGAGUAGGAAGUUCAUUAAACCAUAAAGCAGAACCUACUUCCUCGAAGAGGGCUUUGUUUAAUUUUCCUGACAACCAGACAAAAGAUUUCAACAAUGCAAACACCACAACGGACGUUAUGGAUGCUUCACUGUCUUACAGGACUUCUUUUAGUCUCCCUGAAAACCAGACAAAUGAAUUAAAGAAAGCAAACACCACAAAGGAUCUGUUGGAUGGCACAGAGCGGAAGUUAUCUGUCUUUGAUUUGGUUGGGGAUGAUCAUGCAACAACCUACAAGGAAGAAUCUUCUCCGUCUGAGGCUCACAUGGCAUUUUCAGUUGAAGGAUUAGGUAAUAUAAAUACGAAAACUCCAGUUAAUUCUCCACAUCCACCAGACAGAACCUUUGCGUACCGGUGCUCCUCUCCAUGGAAGGGUACAGGUCAACAAGCUACAUUGAACGUCAGGGCAAGGCUCUACGACUUUGAGAAGGAAGUGGACACAAUUAUUGAAAGUGGCAAAAUGUUCCAAGAGGACAGCCGUUAUAGGUCUCCCAUUGCCAUACAUGCUAAAGAUGGGGGCAGAAAGCAAAAACUGCUCACUUUCAGUGAUCACUUGCAAAAUCAAUAUAGCGACACAAGAAGUUUCUUCUGCGAUGCUGCAGAUUUCAACAACAGCAGGUUCUCGGAUGGUGAGUGGAAUGCUAAGUCUGCCUUUCUUGAUGACCGGGAAGAUGGUUUUUACUGGAACGGCGAACAGCCAUGUGGAAAGGAAAGUUUGAACCCUGAUUUCUUGAAAUAUGGCAAGGAUUACACUGAGAGUCGCUCUUCUGUAGAAUACCAUAGGAAAAAGAAGAGGGAUUAUCUGGAAACGACCUGGAGGUCCAACAUUAGAGAUUCACCAACUCGAAGAUCACAUAUUCUAGAAAGGAAUAUCGAUCAUCCAAGUUUCACUAAGGCAGCUUAUUUCAAAACCCCUGACUUUGAUUUUGACACUGAGUUUGACCAACCGGUUUGGUCGUCCAUUGUACCUGAGGAAGAUAAAGACAGCCUUAGUUUGCGUAGCGAAGAAUCUUGCUCAUCUAGUGCUGUUUGGACCAAUGAAACCCAUAAUUCACAGUUUGACACCAAAACAAGACAAAAGAAAAGGGAACCUAAUUCGUUUUGCAACCUUGGAGACAAGAAGUAUCUGAAUAAUGACCUUUUCCAAGAAUCGUGGGAAGAUUGGGAUGUAGAUGAUCAACAUAUGAAGAGAAAAGUUGGGUCUGGAAAGCAGGUUAGACUAUCAAACCCAGGAAAGUUAAAAUCUACCAGUCAGAGAGGAGGUGGUCUAGACGCGUCUUACAAUUGGUUUGCAGAAGGAUUUACAUCUGCAGCCAUAAGCUCAGAUUUUACAAGUGAGAGGGACAAGCCAUAUCCUUUCCUAAACCCUGACCUUGGUAGCUCGCACUGGUGUCCAUCUCGUGCCCCUGAUUCUAUUCCGGAAACAUGGGUUCCAAAGUUUUCAGUAGGAGGCACUGGAGAUGAUGAUGAAGACGACUAUAUAAACCGUUUAUCAGCAAACCGUAAAUCAGAACUACUAGCAGCAGAGACAAGCGGUUUUGAGAAUGACACGUUAUCAGAGAACGAUAAUGAGCAAAGCAGAGAAGUGAAUGACCCAAAAAGUCAGGGAGAUGAGACCUCGUCAUCCGUUGCAAAGAGCCUCUCAGACGAAAAUGAAUGUAACCCCAACAAGGUAGUCAUGGAAACUAAGCAUCAAGGAAACAGAGAAUCAGGAGAAAGGACAAGUUGAGACUCGUUCCAACAACUGAUAAUGCUGGAACGACGCACACUUCAAUUCGUUUCUUUUAACAAGACAUUGCUCCUUGACUCUUUAAAAACUUAGGCGAGUGUUGACCUAAGGUUAUUUAUGGUUUUCAUCGCGGAAUCCCGAAAUUGUUCUCCGCGGAAAUUGGUAGAUUUUCUCCCAAAUUUAUCGGGCCGAAAUCAUGAUUUAGCAGGUCUUGUUGGGUCGAAUGACAUAUUGGAAGCAACCCAUAUCUAACAGGUAAGGUAUUGCGAAUGUUUAUAUUUUUGUCUAUUUUAAAGGUUCCAAAUUUAAUCAUAUCUCUAACAUUAAAACUUGUUGUUGAUUUUGUUCUACAUACUCGCAAGAAUCUAUAUGGCUUAUACAUGACAUAUUUUUAUCUACAUAUGGGAUAUUGGAGUGAAUAAAGUUGAUAAUGCUUACUU